UACGGAGGGUGCUAGUGUUGUUCGGAAUUACUGGGCGUAAAGGGCGCGUAGGCGGCCGUUUGCGUCGGAUGUGAAAGCCCGGGGCUCAACCCCGGAACGGCAUCCGAUACGGGACGGCUGGAGACCGGGAGAGGAGGGUGGAAUAGCCAGUGUAGAGGUGAAAUUCGUAGAUAUUGGCUGGAACACCGGUGGCGAAGGCGGCAUCCUGGACCGGUAUUGACGCUGAGGAGCGAAAGCCAGGGGAGCAAACGGG
rnacentral:rRNA from 1 species